AAUAGAUACCCCGGUAGUCCACGCCGUAAACGAUGGGUACUAGGUGUAGGAGGGUCCAACCUUCUGUGCCGCCGUUAACACAAUAAGUACCCCGCCUGGGGAGUACGGUCGCAAGAUUAAAACUCAAAGGAAUUGACGGGGGCCCGCACAAGCAGCGGAGCAUGUGGUUUAAUUCGAAGCAACGCGAAGAACCUUACCUAGACUUGACAUCUCCUGAAUUACUCGUAAUGGAGGAAGCCCUUCGGGGCAGGAAGACAGGUGGUGCAUGGUUGUCGUCAGCUCGUGUCGUGAGAUGUUGGGUUAAGUCCCGCAACGAGCGCAACCCUUAUCAUUAGUUGCUACCAUUAAGUUGAGCACUCUAGUGAGACUGCCCGGGUUAACCGGGAGGAAGGUGGGGAUGACGUCAAAUCAUCAUGCCCCUUAUGUCUAGGGCUACACACGUGCUACAAUGGUAGGUACAACAAGAUGCAAGACCGCGAGGUGGAGCAAAACUGUAAAACCUAUCUCAGUUCGGAUUGUAGGCUGAAACUCGCCUACAUGAAGCCGG
rnacentral:rRNA from 1 species